UAUGGAGAACGAACGCGUUCAAAAGUGUGCUUUUCAGUGCAAACAAUUGAUCGUGUUCUCGCUCAGUUUCUCUGCUUGUAGCGAAGAUGUAGCUUGUUCUAGGUCAUGUCGACGUCUUCUAGAUGUGGUGGACGCUUGGAGAGAUCGGCUGUGGCGAUGUCGGCACGGAAUGCGACUCGAAAUUGCAAAUUUGUAUCGCUGAUCCAUCGCAGUAUUCGCUCUCAAAACAGGAGCGAGAGGGAGGGCAGCGAUGGCCUAAAAUCGUCAAGACAGGCGUGAUUCACCAGCCAGAGACUGCUUCUUGUCUUCUCCUUCACUUACCUCGCGCUGGAUGAAAUCACAGUGGUCACUGUCCAUUUUGCAGCUGUGAACAGUCGGAAAGGAUAUCACGGUAGUCACUGUCCAUGUUGCAGCUGUGAACAGUCGGAAAGGAAAUCACGGUGGUCACUGUCCAUGUUGCAGCUGUGAACAGUCGGAAAGG